UCCACCUACGGGGCGCAGCAGUGAGGAAUAUUGGUCAAUGGCCGGAAGGCUGAACCAGCCAAGCCGCGUGAGGGAGGAAGGCGCAGAGCGUCGCAGACCUCUUUUGCCGGGGGACAAAAGGCCGGACUCGUCCGGUCCUGAGGGUACCCGGAGAAAAAGCAUCGGCUAACUCCGUGCCAGCAGCCGCGGUAAUACGGAGGAUGCGAGCGUUAUCCGGAUUCAUUGGGUUUAAAGGGUGCGUAGGCGGUCUGUUAAGUCAGCGGUCAAAGCCCGGGGCUAAACCCCGGCCCGCCGUUGAAACUGGG
rnacentral:rRNA from 1 species